AGAGUUUGAUCCUGGCUCAGGAUGAACGCUAGCGGCAGGCUUAAUACAUGCAAGUCGAGGGGCAUCACGAGGUAGCAAUACUUUGGUGGCGACCGGCGCACGGGUGCGUAACGCGUAUGCAACCUACCUGUUAUUGAGGAAUAACUCGAAGAAAUUCGGACUAAUACCUCAUAUUAUUAUUGAGAGGCAUCUCUUGAUGAUGAAAGAUUAAUUGAUAACAGAUGGGCAUGCGUGUCAUUAGAUAGUUGGUGAGGUAACGGCUCACCAAGUCGACGAUGACUAGGGGUUCUGAGAGGAAAGUCCCCCACACUGGUACUGAGACACGGACCAGACUCCUACGGGAGGCAGCAGUAGGGAAUAUUGGGCAAUGGGAGCAAUCCUGACCCAGCCAUGCCGCGUGCAGGAAGACGGCGCUAUGCGUUGUAAACUGCUUUUGUGCAGGGAUAAUUGAUGAUACGUGUAUCAUCUUGCAGGUACUGUACGAAUAAGCAUCGGCUAACUCCGUGCCAGCAGCCGCGGUAAUACGGAGGAUGCAAGCGUUAUCCGGAUUUAUUGGGUUUAAAGGGUGCGCAGGCUGGAUGAUAAGUCUGCGGUGAAAGGUUAGAGCUUAACUCUGACAUUGCCGUGGAUACUGUUGUUCUAGAUGAUAGUUGACGUUGGCGGAAUAUGUCAAGUAGCGGUGAAAUGCUUAGAUAUGACAUAGAACACCGGUGGGGAAGCCGGCUAACGAAACUAUUCAUGACGCUCAUGCACGAAAGCGUGGGGAUCAAACAGGAUUAGAUACCCUGGUAGUCCACGCAGUAAACGAUGAUCACUCGUUGUCGGCGAUAGACCGUCGGUGGCUAAGCGAAAGUGAUAAGUGAUCCACCUGGGGAGUACGUUCGCAAGUAUGAAACUCAAAGGAAUUGACGGGGGCCCGCACAAGCGGAGGAGCAUGUGGUUGCGAGGUGCUGCAUGGUUGUCGUCAGCUCGUGCCGUGAGGUGUUAGGUUAAGUCCUGCAACGAGCGCAACCCUUACUGUCAGUUACCAGCAUGUAAUGAUGGGGACUCUGGCGGAACUGCCCGCGCAAGCGUGGAGGAAGGUGGGGAUGACGUCAAAUCAGCACGGCCCUUACGUUCUGGGCGACACACGUGCUACAAUGGGGGGUACAGAGGGCAGCUACACUGCGAAGUGAUGCGAAUCUCAAAAACCUCUCUCAGUUCGGAUCGAAGUCUGCAACUCGACUUCGUGAAGUUGGAUUCGCUAGUAAUCGCGCAUCAGCCAUGGCGCGGUGAAUACGUUCCCGGGCCUUGUACACACCGCCCGUCAAGCCAUGGAAGUUUGGGGUACCUGAAGUACGUGCCCG
rnacentral:rRNA from 1 species